GACGAACGCUGGCGGCGUGCCUAAUACAUGCCAGUCGAACGCUUCUUUCCUCCCGAGUGCUUGCACUCAAUUGGAAAGAGGAGUGGCGGACGGGUGAGUAACACUUGGGUAACCUACCCAUCAGCGUGGGAUAACCCUUGGAAACAGGUGCUAAUACCUCAUAACAGUUUAUGCCGCAUUGCAUAAGAGUGAAAGGCGCUUUCGGGUGUCGCUGAUGGAUGGACCCGCGGUGCAUUAGCUAGUUGGUGAGGUAACGGCUCACCAAGGCCACGAUGCAUAGCCGACCUGAGAGGGUGAUCGGCCACACUGGGACUGAGACACGGCCCAGACUCCUACGGGAGGCAGCAGUAGGGAAUCUUCGGCAAUGGACGAAAGUCUGACCGAGCAACGCCGCGUGAGUGAAGAAGGUUUUCGGAUCGUAAAACUCUGUUGUUAGAGAAGAACAAGGACGUUAGUAACUGAACGUCCCCUGACGGUAUCUAACCAGAAAGCCACGGCUAACUACGUG
rnacentral:rRNA from 1 species